rnacentral:rRNA from 1 species
UACGGAGGGUGCGAGCGUUGUCCGGAAUCACUGGGCGUAAAGGGUGCGUAGGCGGGUUUUUAAGUCAGAGGUGAAAUCCUGGAGCUCAACUCCAGAACUGCCUUUGAUACUGGGAAUCUUGAGUAUGGAAGAGGUGAGUGGAACUGCGAGUGUAGAGGUGAAAUUCGUAGAUAUUCGCAAGAACACCAGUGGCGAAGGCGGCUCACUGGUCCAUAACUGACGCUGAGGCACGAAAGCGUGGGGAGCAAACAGG